GACAGAGAGUGGAAGGGACACGGGAGCCAGGUAACUAGGGCAUCCCUGGCUUCAUCAGUUCCUUCAUCCCCUCAGCAGCACAGCCACCAACUUGGGGAAGAAAAUCAAGAUUUUGGACAAAAAGGGACGGCCGUGCCCUGCAUUUGGGAUUCGUCAGACGAUUUCAAGAGCGCUUGUAAUUCUCUCAAAUCAUUGUUUGCGUUUCUGCGCGCUGGGGAGGCAGCUGGAAGCAGCCCAAGGAGGAGGCGCAGGCUGUGCAUCUCGGGCCGGGGGACCCUGAAAUACCUGUCGGGGCGCAGCGCUGCCGGCGCGCGGCCGCGGCGCGGACCCGGCCCGGGGGUCGGGGCCGGGAGCCGGGGGCGGCGGCGGCGGGCGCGGAAGGGGAGGCCGCGGGGCCGCCUCCUCGGGCCGCGCCGGCUCCUCCCAGCGGCGCCUGCGGAACCUGCCUCGGAGCCGCCGAACCCUGGAGCGGAACGUGCCCCGACCCCUCCCCGAGCGGCGCGGCCGAGGCGCGGAGGCGCGCGCGGGGCUCGGCGGCCGCGGCCCCGCCCGGCGCCCAGCGCCCUGCCCUCGCCUGUCUCCUCCUUUCCCCCGGGCUCCGCUGAGUUCAUUCACUGGGAUUGGUUUCAAGUGACGCCAUCUCUUUAUUUUUAAACCAAUGACCUCAUCCGCGCUUGAAGUUUCCUGACCAGCGACUCUUUCUCUUUCCCCCCAACCCCCCACCCCACCCCCCCGCCUUUCCCCCUCUUUCUGCGUAUCCCUGUUUGGGGGGCUUUCAC
rnacentral:lncRNA from 1 species